GUAAAAGUUGUAUUGAACGGGCAACGUUAGUGACACUUUGAGGAUUCUACUCGGCUCUCUGGUGAGGAGUUGAGCUAGCCUCGUGUGAGCUAGCGGGUAGCUACUUUUGAAUUCGAGGCAUGGUGUUCUGCAGUUCUGUGUCGCCUUGGACGUCAAGAGUAAGUUAACUUAGCUAUCUGAUGGUUAAGUGUCUUCACGUUUCUUUAACAUCGUCGAUGUAACGUAGGUUGUCGGUUUCUGUGUUGAAGGAGCCAACAUUAGCUUACUUUACCACAUGUUAGCUCAGGCAAUGUGUAGCUAACUUUCGUAUUAUAGGUUCAUUACUGUGGCAGGUGGGUUAAGACACCUGAGGGGUCACGUGCUACACACUGCAUCUAAUAACGACCAUUUUAUUGAAGUGCUUUGAAACUGGUUCCACGCAGACAUGUAUAGACAAGCUCACAUAUACCGGAGCGGUCAGUCCGGACAGUCACGUGACCAGACACGUUAUUGUACAGGUCUGUUCACGUGACGUCGGGACUCUGUUCACGUGACCGCUAUAAACUGCGCUGUGGCAUAUGCUGUCGAGACUGCUGUUAAUGUGACGCUCUUAACGUGAUGCUGUUGACGUGGUCGGGACUCUGUUCACGUGACUGUUGUGAACAUGACGCUUAUAACUGCGCUGUGGCGGACAUGACGGCUCACAGCUCCUCAGAAGCGCCGUGAGCUGUCCAGUGAGGGGAUGGUUUCAUGAUCAAAUCUUCAUUUACCGUCCACAUUAUCAGAUGAGGACGUCACCAAAGAGUGUCCUUUGAGUCGAUGUUUACAUUUAUGUACAGAUUAUUAAGAACAUUUAGUUUAUUGUAAAAUGCUAAUUAUUUUCUCCUGCCACCUUUGACAUAGUCAUCCAAUUUGGAUGGAACAACUUCGUGACCUUAAUGACACCCAGCAACACGGUGAGAUUAUAAUCCAUUUAAAUGCAAGAAGCAUGACAUUUUUUAAGAUGUUUUUCCUUUAUUUGUGUUAGAGACUUUCAAAGCACCACAGGGGAGGAUCUGCAGCAAAGGACCCACCGGAAAUCAAACCUUGGCCGCUAUGAUGACGACAACAUGAGGCACUUAAGUGUGAAUCUAGCCUUUUCAUUUUGAUUUACAACCUUGGCAUUGAAAAGAGCAAAAGUUGAUGCUUGAGAUGAUUUUGUUUUUACUGAAGAGGAUGUAUGUCCUCCCCUUGUCCUUUAUCUCCUUACUCUUUCUUUUUAGGUGUGACUACGACUACCAGCAUGAACCUCAACACCUUCUUUGCUGUUCCACUAGUGUGACCCAUGAUCGGAUACAAGUUGUCAAGGAUAAACGGUGAGAGAAUCAUGUCAGCCCACAGACAACCGGUUGACCUGUGAGUCUUCAAGCAGUAAUGAUGACUACGCCUGCCUUAAGUUCCAGUUUCCUGAACAUCAUGGCAUGUCUGCAGGAGAUUCGGUCCCCACCUGUCUUCAGUCUGGACCUAAUGACUCAGACACCAGUCUUGUCGAGGCUAAAUCGAGAGAGGAUCACCUAAUGUCAACAUACGAGUUUUCAAGAAGAACUUCCUGAACUUUGUGUCCGUGUGAGACUCUACCAUGCUGGGUGCCCUCUUCAGUCAAGUCUGGACACAGAGACUCAUUGCUCUUCAUCAACUCUGGGCAAGUGGCUAAUCUUUUGCUUAUUCAUGGGAUAUCCUUCAUGUCCACAUCCUGUUUCUUCAAGAUCUCAACAAUGCUUUGUGAGUAUACAACACAUGUGAGUGGAUCAGUUCAACCUGUUUUUCACAGAAUGUUAGUUUCUUAAGGUUUUCAUCAACGAUGGUUUGUAUCUUGUUUUCCAAAAGGUGUUAUUAAGAUAUUUCCAUUUGUAAUUUACAAUAAUCAAAUGUUGACUGUAAAAUCUAUGCCAACCUAUUGUUAUACACUGUACCAUGUUUUUGCAAAGGAAUUCUGGUGACUUUAGUUGCCAGCAACUUCCUUUGAACUUUGUAAUAAAGUUUACAGUAUAACUGUUGUUUUUACAAAACUUACUGUCAUGUCUUGUAUGUUCACCGUUAAUUGGAACUUUUCAAUAAAGUACCAUAAUAUAUUA